UACGAAGGGGGCUAGCGUUGUUCGGAAUUACUGGGCGUAAAGGGCUCGUAGGCGGCCAACUAAGUCAGACGUGAAAUCCCUCGGCUUAACCGGGGAACUGCGUCUGAUACUGGAUGGCUUGAGUUCGGGGAGAGGGAUGCGGAAUUCCAGGUGUAGCGGUGAAAUGCGUAGAUAUCUGGAGGAACACCGGUGGCGAAGGCGGCAUCCUGGACCGAUACUGACGCUGAGGAGCGAAAGCCAGGGGAGCAAACGGG
rnacentral:rRNA from 1 species